CCAAACCAAACCCUUGAAUCGUGUCUCUCUCCAUCUCUCGACUCUCGCCUGCCUCUCUCGAAACUCUGCCCCUGCCAAGCACCAGUUGCCACCUCUAAAGAAGAAGAACUGAAGAAAAGAAGCUAUAGGCAGCAGGGGCUUACUGACUUUGAUUUCAAUUUGAAGAAAAGAAGCCGUAGGCUCGCCGCUCGUAGCCCAGCAGAAGAACGAUUGAACGAAGAAGGUGAAGGUGACUUACUGACUUUGAUUUCAAUUUGCGUUAAUUUGUGUGCAGUGUGUUUAUUAAUUUUCCAUUGCUGAAUUACUUGUCAUUUUAGUAAAAGUUAGGCACAACCGCACAAGAGAAAUGAACCGUUAUAUUCGCUCCCAAGUGCAAUACCCCAACUCCAAAAACUAAGAAGAAUGAGUUUCAUAUUUCACUUUAUGGAGUGGGAACUAGGAAUUAAUUGAUAUCUGCUCUCCCAAGUGCGAUACACCCAAGCUCCAAAAAAUAGAGGAAUGAGUUUCAUAUUUCACUUUAUGGAGCAAGAAUAAUAGAAAACCCACGGAAUAAAAAUAAAUAUAAAAUAAAAGUGUUGAAAUUAAGUUGUUUCCAAGCCGCGGGUCCUACAAUUAGCGUUAUUCAUCUUGUCACCCAAGUGCGGUGGCUUGUAUUCUCGGCUAGGCCUUUAUAUAAUGUUACAAUUAUCCAGACUAGUAUCGAGAAACUUAAGACAAUAUAAUUAUAUUAAAGAUACAAUAAUAGUCAUAUUAAAUAUGGUUUUGCUUAUUAGAUGCCUGAUAUUGUUCCGAUUUGUAAAUCAAUUCUACAAGGACAAGCUUAGAAUAAAUUCUUGCCUAAGCAUGGAAAAUUAGGCAAAAGUUAAAAGCUUUGGAUGCCAAGCAAAGUCACAAGAUUCAUCUAGGGCCUGACUCAUGAUCCAUAAUAUCUUGUACCUAAAUAUUGUAUUACGUAUUAGAUAAGGUACAAUAUGGGUGGGUUCGUGGAUUUUAAUGAUUAAUAUUUAAUUACUACUAUAUAACAAGUUGAUUAAUUAUGCAAAACCAACCCAUGCCUCCUCGAACUAACCCAUAUGAUGGAACUUGGAAGCUUCAUUAUUAAAAUAAUUUAUUUGUUUUGGAUACUAAUUCAUACUCUGUUCUAUUUGUCUCCUUAAUUGCGCUAAUUUGUCUGAAUGGAGCAUUAAAUUGGAUUGAUAAGGUGAAUUGAUAUUGUGAAAUUGGAUUGAUAAUGUGAAAUUGUGAAAUGUGAAUUGCAUUGCGAAUUAAGAUUGUGAAAUUGUGAAUUUAUGAUUCUUUUGUCAUUAUGAAUUAUUGUUACUCACUCCCAGUAAUAAUUGGAUAUCAACUGUUAAAUCCAGAUAUCAAAUGAAUAGAUACUUUCAACGAAAAAGGAACAUAGAUAAUAUUGAUGAUAGGGUAUCGAAUAAUGUGGAAUUUGAUGUCACAAAACUUCCAACUGAUCCUGGUCUAAGGAUACCCAUUUUGGAUUACAAUGCUAACAUUUGAGAUGAAGUUCGAAGAGCAUAUAUGUUGAAGGAUCUUUGUCAGCCCCAAGAUCAUGAAUUUCCAAAACAACAAUUUGGAGUAACAAUUAGACGAUUCAAUCGUUAGUGGUUUAAAGAGUUCGGUAGUUGGUUGGAGUACAGUGUAGAGAAGGAUGCUGCUUAUUAUUUGUAUUGUUAUCUUUUCAUAACAAGUUUUGGAAAGCAAGGUGGAGGUGAGUCUUUUGUUGGCGAAGGUUUUACAUAUUGGAAAGAUAAAAAAAAAAAAGGCUUCAUACUCAUGUUGGACUUCAUGAUAGUGAACAUAAUCAAGCUCGCAUUAAGCGUGAAGUGUUGAUGAAUCAAGAGCAACACAUUUAAUCAGUUUUCUACAAACAAUCAGAACAAGCAAGAAGUGCAUAUGUUACACGUCUUAAUGCAUCCAUUGAUUGUGUUCGACUUCUUUUGCGACAAGGGCACUCAUUUCGAGGUCAUGAUGAAUCUAAAGAUUAUCUCAAUCUAGGUAACUUCUUAGUGCAAUUACAAUUUUUGACUGCUCAUAAUGAAGUUAUUAAUGUCGUCACAUUGAGAAAUGCUCCUCACAAUUGCAAAUUGACAUCACCUGAUGUUCAAAAUGAUAUAGUAAAUGCUUGUACUUUUGAAACGAUCAAUGUUAUUAUCAAAGAUGUUGACGACUUGCUAUUUUUUAUUCUAGUUGAUGAAUCUCGUGAUGUGUCAAUGAAGGAGCAAAUGUCUAUUGUUUUACAUUAUGUGGACAAUAGUGAGCAUAUCAAUGAACGCUUCAUAGGGAUUGAACAUGUUACAAGUACCACGGCUCUAUCACUUAAGGCUACAAUUGAUAAGGUAUUUUCUAGAUGUAACUUGAGCAUGUCUAGAUUGAGAGGAUAAGGUUAUGAUGGAGCAAGUAAUAUGCGGUAAAUUUAAUGGUCUGAAAACAUUAAUUUUGAAGGAGAGUCCAUGUGCCUUUUACAUUCACUGUUUUGCUCAUCAACUGUAACUUGCGCUUGUGGUUGUGGCAAAGAAGAACAUCCCUAUUACUAACUUCUUUCAUGUGGUUGGAAACGUGAUAAAUACUGUUGGAGCAUCUUCCAAACAUUGUGAUCUUGUUCGAGAAAAACAAUUAGACUUUAUUGUUUAGGCAUUGGAAAAAUGUGAAAUUUUAAGUGGACGGGGACUUAAUCAAGAAACGACCCUUCAGUGCUCUGGUGAUACACAAUGGAGUUCACGUUAUAAUUCUUUGGUCAGCUUGCUUGCCAUGUUCUCUUCUGUUUUAGAUGUACUUGCAAUGAUUGUUGAAAAUAAAUUUUGUUCUUGUGAUCAAAGAUCUUAUGCAACAAAUUUAUUGGAGUCGAUACAAAAAUUUGAUUUUGCAUUUAAUUUAUAGUUGAUGAGAAGUGUCUUGGGGAUGUCAAAUGAACUGUCAAAGGCAUUACAAAGGAAAUAUCAAGAUAUUGUGAAUGCAAUGCAAUUGGUGAGAUUGUGCAAACGACGACUCCAAAUAAUGAGAGAUGAAGGGUGGGACUCCUUUUUGGAAGAAGUAUGUUCUUUUUGUCAACAACAUUACAUUCAUAUACCCAACAUGGAUGAUAUGUUUGUACGCCUUGCACUUCAUGGUCGCUCUUAGCGUAAUUCUCCAGAAAUUACAAAUUUACAUCAUUACCGAGUAGAUAUUUUCUAUUCUAUCAUCGAUUUACAACUUCAAGAAUUGAAUGAUCGUUUCUCGGAGGUAAAUACAGAGUUACUCCUUUGUGUAGCUUGUUUAUGUCCACAAGAUUCAUUUUCUUCUUUUGACAAGAAAAGUUUGAUUAGACUCGCUGAGCUUUAUCCAUUAGAUUUCUCUGUAGUUGAUGUCAUUGUACUUAACGAUCAACUUGAGACUUAUAUUUUUGACAUGCGUUCUAACAAAGAGUUUGAAGGGUUGAAUGACCUUGGUGAUCUUGCAAAGAAGUUAGUUCUGACAAAGAAAGAUAGGGUAUAUCCAUUAGUUUACAGAGUGACUUUGGCAUUGAUUUUACCGGUUGCUACUGCUUCUGUGGA
rnacentral:lncRNA from 1 species